rnacentral:rRNA from 1 species
AGCAGCCGCGGUAAUUCCAGCUCCAAUAGCGUAUAUUAAAGUUGUUGCAGUUAAAAAGCUCGUAGUUGAAUUUCGGGGUCGGUAGAUUGGUCGUGCCUCUGGUAUGCACUGGUCUUACUGGCUCCUCCUUCCUGAUGAACCGUAAUGCCAUUAAUUUGGUGUUGCGGGGAGACUGGACUGUUACUUUGAAAAAAUUAGAGUGUUUAAAGCAGGCUAACGCUUGAAUACAUUAGCAUGGAAUAAUGAAAUAGGACGUUCGAUCUUAUUUUGUUGGUUUCUAAGAUUGACGUAAUGAUUAAUAGGGAUAGGUGGGGGCAUUAGUAUUCAAUUGUCAGAGGUGAAAUUCUUGGAUUUAU